GCACAAUGAACUUUGCAAAGGACCAACGGUUUUUCGAAUGAGUUUCGUAGUCAGUAAUUUUUGUGAUUUUAUCCAGGAAAUAUAGGAGCUGUGGUGAUGAAAUUUUCCAACACAAAAGAAAAAGACAUAGAAGCAGUACGGUAAUCAAAUACUGGCUGAAGUCUCCAAAAACUCGGUUUACCAGCAAAGAGAAAUCUAAAAAUGUUCAAACACCGGAUCCUGGAGGAAAAUCUGAUUGCUACAAAAAUUGAGAUUGAAUUGAGGUACAGCAACAUAAACCAGUAUGUAGCUCAAAAAAUUGCUACUUUAAACAGGAAGAGAUUAAAGUAUUCUGGAGCACCACAAUAAGGACCUUUCUUGAUAGAUAAAUGAAAUGCAUAUGA